UUAUUUAUUAACAAUUCUGAAUAAGAACAACAAAAUCUUGCAAGAUUGUAUAAUGUCACAAGAUAUUUUGUUUUUUGUUUUGUUUUGUUUUUAUUAUUAUUUGCACCUGCAGUUCCUUUGCAAACCAGCAGUGGUCACCCUCUGAUUUAAUUACAUACUGCUUCUCAAAGGAGUUAUUUCCCCUUAUCUUCCACCUGAUUAAUUAUUAGAUUCUGUCUUGUGGAGACCUUGGUGCUCUCUGAGCUUGGUUGUUUGCUUGCAGAUGUUUCAUUACCCGACUGGGUAACAUCAUCAGUAACAUCAGAACCAGAUUUUUCCUUGCUUAGAGAACAGUCCUCCUGAUAAGUCCCAAAGAGUAUCUCCUUUUUAAAAUACAUUUGGGAUGUGAUUUAGUCAGAAGAAAAGGCUGGUUGUGUUGCAAAUUCUUCUCCAGUCCUACAUAUGAGAGGCUUUACUCCUUCAGACAUUGUGGAAAUUCUGCCUUGGGGUAUUCUAAAAGGAGUUGUUUUUGUUUCUUGUUACUUAACCUUCACUGUGAUAUAAAACAUUUAAGUUUUUUUUUCUGAAAUUGGAAAGCUGAUUUACCAUCAUGCCCUGCAUUUCAAGUAAAAAUGCCUCAUUUUUACGGAUUCUAAUAAUGUGGUAUUAAGCCACAGAAGUACCAUAGUAUAUCAGUUUAACUGAAUUAUCUGGCAAUCAGCCAGUUGUCAGUGAAAUUCAAAAUACUUUGUACAUAAAUAAAUAUAUGUGUUUGCAAGAAUAUUGGCAGGUGGAGUAUGCAGAAUAAGACAGUAUAUUUCGGUGGUGUCAGGUAGGCAUAUGGCAGGAGACAAAGGCCAGGUCACUUUGAAGGAAUGUGCCCUUGGAAUCUGGUAUUGAUCUUGUGUUUCAGCCCCUUGAACUCAAUCCGUUUACCUAGUCAGUAAAUUUAUGGAGGCCCGGGUUUUAGACUGCUGGUUCUAAAUGUCAGAUCAGCUUGCCUUAUUGUUGAUUUGAUUCUUGAAGAGAAGGCUGAUCUCACUUGCAUCACCAAUUUGUAUCUGAGAGCAGAGGUGGGGUUCCUCUCUCCGAAAUGUGCUUAGCUGGCUAUCGAGCUUUGCACCAGUCUAGACUAUAGAGUGUAGGGAGGCAGUGGGGCUGUUGUCAUCAGAGAAUCUCUGAUAGCUUCCAGGGGCAUUGCUUCAAGAGUGCCCUUUUUCUUAGGUUGGGCUUGAGGAACCAAAUGGGAUUGCUACUGUACCAGCCUCCCUGCUGUGUAGCAGCUUCCCUGCCUGAUCUCCUGGACUUCACUGCAGAGCUGAAGAUGGAGUUUCCCAGAUUCAUAGUUUCAGAGGAAUUUGUUCUGUGAUCUCUGGAGCAGGGGUAGGAGUUCAUGGAAUUGAUGACUAUCAUGGGCCUGACCCAGAUCAUCUAGGGUCAAACAACCAAUUUGGUGUUCUUGUUGGAGCGGUGCCUAUGUGAUCGGGAAUUGGUGGACCUAUCCUACAUCCCCUUGUCUUAAAGCCUUACCUUCUCCACAGAGAGGCAGGACCUACUAGAUCAAUCCCACCCCCCAGCAACCGAUGGAUUCGGAUGGGUUUCAAAAAGAGCUGGGUAUUAUAAGUGAAGAUCUGCUGUGUAGCCCUGCCAAAUCCUUAGUUGUCACCUGGAAUAGGGAGGUGACUGGGGCUUUGAACAGGAUUGCACCCAUACCCAUGGCAUACAGAGGAAUUGAGAGAUAUGAAAUGGAUGAAGAGACAUCUAGAGCACCACUAGCAGGAAUGAAAAACAUGCUUGCCCAAAUACAGAUCAUAUCGUCCUGCCUCUCCAAGUGCUGAAGAUAACAACGGCUUGGUCCUUUUUAAAAUGAAGGCUAUAACUCAAGAGAAACAGUGAACCACAUUGGGGGAGAAUGCAGCUAACAUUUCCACACAGCCUCUGCAUGAGGUUUAGAAUUCCAAGAUACCAGGAAGGACCAUAUAAGAGAUAACAGAGAAUCUUAACUGCAAGAUUACUUUAUUUCUAUAUGAGUAGAUAUGUUCAAGCAAGAAAUUUUGCACCAUAUUUUUAUGACAUGUUACUGUGUUGUGCUAAAGUGUAAUUUUCUGGUGUGUGUGUGUGUGAGAGAGAGAGAGAGAGAGAGAGAGAAAUCAGAUUUUUCAAAGUCAGCUUUGAAUCAUGCCUCAAGUGACGCAUGAGGGAUUUUUCUCCUUUCCGCUCCCUCCCACUCUUCAUUCCUCCCAUUCAUUCAUUUUGUGACAUGUAAUAUAAACUGGAAUCAUUCCAGUGUCUUUUCAGAGUUCUUUAACAGAUUUGUAGAUCGGCACCAUCUUGUGGACUCUUUGGAGCCUUGUAUUUUAUUUUUUUUAUUUUUUUGUAAUGUUUCCUGCUGUAUCCCCUGAUUUCAACAGCUCUGUAACUCUUUAUUUCAAUAUUAAAUGUUUGUAUUUUAAUCUGUAAAGUUAAAAAUGUUUUUUUUUACUUUUUAUAUUUUUAUGCUUUUAAUAAAGUUUGAUUUUAUUUA